GGGCGGAUAGCUCAAUUGGGAGAGCGCAGCCCUUACAAGGCUGAGGUCACAGGUUCGAUCCCUGUUCCGCCUA
rnacentral:tRNA from 1 species